rnacentral:lncRNA from 1 species
GUUUCUUUUAAAUUCUGUAGCAACUUUUGUGAUUUUUCAGUGUUAACAGUGGUAUUUUUUGCCAACAAUAGUACAUGAAGGAAUCUUCUAGAAAUCUAGAUUCUAUGUUCCAUGAGCCAUUUUGUAAAUGGUUUUAGAAUCAAGGAGCACAGCAACUCUGGAUCUCCACUUUUCUUCCAAAUAAGAGGGACUUCUAAUAGUAAAUAUGAAGGAGGAUAAUACUCAGAAAUAGGAAUAUAACUUGAGGUGGAGAUUUCUGGACAGGAGAUCUUGUGAAAAUGCUUCAGGCAAUUUGAUGAGCCAUCUUCUGGAGCCUCUGGUAGCUUUGCCAUCAGUGUCUGUGGCCUGAGACGCACACCAGGAUUAGAUCUUGGAGCUUCUGAUGCUGGAGCAGUUGCUGAUGAUUCUGCCAGGAUAGGUGCUGAAUGGGGUUUGAGAGCAGCAUCCAGACAGUGGGGAGGAGGUGGUGGUUCUAUUGGAUGAUUUAGAGAAAGAGUUUAUUAACUGAGACAGCAAGUGGGAAGGGGAAGCUUGAAAUUUGUUGUGGGAAGUUAGGGAAUUGAAUUUUCAGGGAUAAUGAGCGCAAUGAUGGAAGAUGAGAUGCUUAAAUUACAUCGUUAAUGGACGUAGCUGGAGGCCCUGAUUUUGGCUUUUAUAUGUACUGUUCAGCUGACCACUCCCACUGGAUUUAAAUAAUGUGUGUGCAAAUGCACCCUACAUAAAUAAUCAAGAAGUAUAAGAUUUUAAGGUAGGGUUAUAUUGUUGGAGCUGGAAAAUGUCAGGUGACAAGGGUUUCCUUUUGUGCAGCAUGAACUGAUGAAGAACUAAGGAUGAAGAUGACCUCUAAUUCUACAUCCACUUAUACUUGUCAAGAGAUUAUUACUAUUAUUAUUAUUUUUGAGGAAGAUUAGCCCUGAGCUAACUACUGCCAAUCCUCCUCUUUUUUUGCUGAGGAAGCCUGGCCCUGAGCUAACAUCCAUGCCCAUCUUCCUCUACUUUAUACGUGGGACGCCUGCCACAGCAUGGCUUUUGCCAAGCGGUGCCGUGUCUGCACCUGGCGUUGGAGCUGGCGAACCCCGGGCUACAGAGAAGCGGAAGGUGCGCACUUAACUGCUGCGCCACCAGCCGUCCCCUGAAGAGAUUAUUAAACCAUAUGCUAUUAAACAAAUACUGUUUGAGAACCUGUGUCUGCUGGAUGCAAUGGGAAAUACAAAGAAAUAAAUAUGUCUUACUCGAAGGAGUGUUGCAAUUUAAUUGGCAAAUGAAAACGUGAAAAGAAGUUAAAUAAGUUGUAAAAGAGUUAAAAGAGUUAAAAAGAAGAUACAGGAAACUAAGAAAGAUGAUGCAUUAUCAAUUGCAAAAUGAAUGCAGCAGGCCAUAGUGUUUGAGCUCAGAGGAGCGUGAUAACAAGUUGAUUGGUUUGGGAAGGCUUACAAAUAAUGGUAGGACUCGAACUGCACCUUGAAGGAUGUGAAUCUUUGUCUAGGUGGAGAAGGCUGGAGAGAUCUUAACAAGCAGAAGAAAAGGUCUGAGCUCCGGGUAUGUGCUGGAGGUGGAGGAUUCAUAUAGAGAAGAAACUUAAGAGCCUUAUCGUGAAAGGCCCAAGAAGACAGGCUUAGGACUUCAGACUUCAUCUUUUAGGCCAGGUGUCAGCAAGUUUUCUGUAAAUAUCUUAGGCUUUGCAGGCCAUGUAGUCUCUGUCACAACUCCUCAACCCUGCCAUUGUAGCAAGAAAGCGACUGUAGACAACACAUAAACAAACGAGUGUGUCUGAGUUCCAAUGGGCCAUAGUUUUCUGAUCUGUCUUAGACAAUGGGGAACAUUAUUCCUUUCUGCUCAGGAGAGUGGCAAGGUGAAAGAAAUGUUUUCCAAAGUGAUCUGUGAAGUGAUAUAGCAUCGGAGGAGUGAGGAUAAUAAUAAUAAGGAGCCAGGAAGACGGGUUCAAAUUUGUUCCUUUUAAUGAGUCUUUGUUCUGUUUUGAGUGUUGGCACUCUUUUUUAUUUUUAAUUGCAUUGAUUAUACGAGUAAUUCAACCUGGUAGGUGAGGAAUAAAUAAACACACUUGGCAGAAGUUACAACUUUUUAAAUUGGAAGGAAUCUUAAGAGAGCCUUUAGUAAAUCCCGUCAAUUUCUGGAUGAAGAAUCAGUCCAGAGAGGGUACGGGGAUUUCCUGCGCUCACACCACUAAUACACGGGAACCUGCAUCUUAAGUCGUGAAUUCAGACUUAAAUUUGGAUUUAAAAUCAGAUUAAGAGACGGUUUAUGGAAUUCAAGGCGGAGUAUGACAGGAUAACAUAUGAUAACUAACUAUAGGGGAGUAAACAAGGGAAAGAUAUCCAUAGUAUCAUUAAAGAUUCCAGUCUUGGGGCUGGUUCCAUGGCUGAAGGGUUAAGUUUGCACACUCCACUUUGGUGGCCCAGGGUUUCGCUGGUUCAGAUCCUGGGUGCGGACAUGGCAUCACUCAUCAGGCCAUGCUGAGGUGGUGUACCACACAGCACAACUAGAGGCACUCACAACUAGAAUAUACAACUAUGUAGUGGGGGGCUUUGGGGAGAAGAAGGGGGAAAAAGAGAAGAUUGGCAACAGUUGUUACCUCGGGUGCCGAUCUUUAAAAAAAAAAGAUUCCAGUCUUGGUGACUGAGAAAUCAGUUGAUCCCUUUGUUAGAAAUGGAGAAGCCAAGAGGAAAAGCAUCUGUUAAGGGUUGAAUUGUGUCCCCCUAAAAGGUGAGCCCUAAUUCAAAAUGGCUGGUGUCCUUAUAAGAAAGCAAAACAGAAAUAGAGACACAUACGCACAGGGAGAGCACCAUGGGAUGACAGAGGCAAUGAUUGGAGCAAUGCUGAUGAGUUUACAAGCCAAGGAAUGCCAAUGAUUGCUAGCCAAAUCAAAAGCUAAAAGAAAGGUAUAGAGCACAUUCUCCCUCAGAACCUCCAGAGAGAGCAUGGCCCUGAAAACACCUUGAUAUUGGACUUCUGCCCUCCAGAACGGUGAGGAAUAAAUUUCUGUUGUUUUAAGCCCCCCAGUUGUUGGCACCUUGGCAGCCAUCGGAAAGUAAUACAGCAACUUUUGUUGGGGAGAGGGAAACAGUGAAUUUACAGAGCCAUAUUAUUUGUAAAUAUAUAAAUAGGUGUGUCAGGAAUGACAAUGGAAAUGUAGGAUUAUAUUUGCACAGAGGGCCUUGAGAAUGAUGUGCUUUGGCAAUUAUCUCUUUGGUGGUUCAAAACCAACCUUUGAAGUCGAUUUUAAAGAGAAAAUGUGUAAAAAGAGAAUUAAAGGUAAAGGACUUUGGGUUUCAGAAAAAUCGGAAAAGUAGUGGCCACUGACAUGUGAAAAUAUCAAGGCUGAACAUUUUGUAAAAGCAACAUGAGGACCAUUUCAAAAAGGAAGUAGCCAAUAGCGUGGCGUGAUUGAAGACGAUCUGAGGAAACGGACUGAAGAAAAAGUAUGACUCUAUCCAGAAAUGCUAGUAGUUCUUUGCAUUCACACAAUGCUUUACAAUUUAUAAUGCAUUUUUACAUUCAUUUUCUUAUUUAUUUACCACAACAUUGAGGGACGAUAUUAUACUUAUUUUGCAGCUCAGCACAUUCUGGAACAGAGAAGUUAAAUUCUUAGUUGAAGUGAUGCAGAUUCUGAAUGAUGAGGCCAAGAUGUGGACCUAGAUAUUCAGACUCCAGAUUCAGAAAAUUCCCACAGAGGUAAAAUACUUUGGGAAGAUCUUUUAAGGACCUCACAGGAACAAUGGAGUCCAGCUCUAGUCUAUGAAAACUCUGCUUACAUGAGAACCUCCAGACACACAUUUUGUACAGGAGAGGAGUGAGGGACUGGAUGUUGUAAUGAACAGAAAGUGAUCAGAUUUUGUUACCAUUGACGUUUGGUGGAAAUAUAGAUGUCUAUAUUUAGUAUGUUCCAUUUUUGUGUAAGAUGACCAUGUAUGUGAAAGUUUCUUCAAGAAGUGAAUUAUUUUUCAAUAUAGAAUGAUUAAACAAUAUGCUUGCUUUGUAGCCUGGCACUAAAUUUUACCUGACUGUAAUUACUUCAAUCCAUUAUGAGCUUUUUGAGGUGUUAAUAAUCCUUGUGCCCAUCAUUUUAUUGUUUUCACUAUCACUUUCCUUCUGUUUUUACUUUUAGUUUAUAUCUUUUGUCUCUAUUUAAUUCAAAUCUCCGUUUAUAUCUGCUGUCUCUCUCAGAUCCUGUUGUCCUUCUAUACUUGUCUUCUUUAUCUUUCCCUUUGUUUCUGAGCAUUUCCCUUUCCCCAUUUUGGCUCUUU